rnacentral:snRNA from 1 species
AUGCUUUACCAGCACAUAUACCAAAAGUGGAACGAUACAGAGAUUAGUAUGGCCACUACAAAAGGAUGAUAUUCAAAAAUUAACAUUCUACCAUUCUUAU